rnacentral:rRNA from 1 species
AACGAACGCUGGCGGCAGGCCUAACACAUGCAAGUCGAACGCCCCAGCAAUGGAGAGUGGCAGACGGGUGAGUAACACGUGGGAACCUUCCCUUUGGUUCGGAAUAGCCCAGGGAAACUUGGGGUAAUACCGGAUAAGCCCUUACGGGGAAAGAUUUAUCGCCGAAGGAUGGGCCCGCGUCGGAUUAGCUAGUUGGUGGGGUAACGGCCUACCAAGGCGACGAUCCGUAGCUGGUCUGAGAGGAUGAUCAGCCACACUGGGACUGAGACACGGCCCAGACUCCUACGGGAGGAAGCAGUGGGGAAUAUUGGACAAUGGGCGCAAGCCUGAUCCAGCCAUGCCGCGUGAGUGACGAAGGUCUUCGGAUUGUAAAACUCUUUUGGCGGGGACGAUAAUGACGGUACCCGCAGAAUAAGCCCCGGCUAACUUCGUGCCAGCCGCCGCAGUAAAAC